AAGAAAAAGAAUGUAUAUUGACCGGUCAACUAACCAACCGGUUACCCACCCGCCAAACCUCCACAUUUAGCUACCUCUUAUAAAGCAGUUUCUAAUUAUAUAUACAUACUAAUUUUGAAGUGCCACAUGAACAGUUUUCUUCUCUGAUUGGUUUUAAUUUUUUUUCCAAUUUUUAUUUGCUGCGUCUAAUUUUCUUUGGCCUGCUUCGAGAUAGUGUUUGCUGGAUAAUACGUGUGCUACUCUUCUUCUCCACCGUUUUCUUCUCCAAUAAAAUGCCUACAAGUAUCGUCCCCUUUAAUGCUCUCCACUGCUUUCAUUCUUACGCCCUUCCACGUUCUUCCUUCUACAGCUUCAUCUCUUUCUUCCUUCCACACAAAAGCCCUACCUCGAUCCAUUUCUCUCCGAUCUCUCCAAGGAAACAUCACCCCGAAGGAUGGUCACCCGUCGCUGGUAGUGAAAAAAUUGGAGAAAAUUUAUGUGAUUUCGAUUAACCCACCCUACAGUACUUCCACUCUUUGUUUUUGGAUGGUUCCAUUCCAUUUUCCCUCUUCGUCUCCAUCGCCUCUCCAUUUUUCUUCGUCACUGAAUAAUCAACAACCAUAUAGGUGGCACUGUGAUGGCGGUGGAGCUACCAGGUAAGUUUCCUACGAUUCAUCACACGUACACAUAUAGAGAUCGGGAGACAUCGAGAGGGAGGCAAGAAGAAGCGAGAUGGUGUCGCCAUAGUUCAAUUUCUCCUAAAUCCCAUACUCGCACCAUAAAGCUCUUAAAGGUCUUCGAUUCAUCCAUAGUUCUCCCUUUACCCUUUUACUCAUACCAAAUAAGGUCAUAUAAUCCCUAACGUUUCUAUAUUCCUUUCUAUUUAUUUCUUCAUGCUUACUGCUGAUGCGGUCGCCUGACUUUUUGGAAUAUCUCUCAAACUACGACUCCCGCUAUCUAUUGUUUGGUUAUCUCCGAGCUCUUUAUUUCUGUGUUCCAUUCCGUGAGCUUCUUGGAUACAUGGAAAUGAUGAAAAUCUACGAGGAUUUGGAGCUAAUCUAAGAUUUUUACUGUUAUGGAUGAAGUUGCGGCCGCAACCCACCAGGUAUUCGAUGAAAUGCCGAGGUGUUAUUUGGUCAUUUUGUAACAGUCACAUGUGUUGCCUACAGUAACAUAACUUAUAUUAGAAAACUUUAACCUAUAAUAACAAUCUACUUAUGAUUUUUACGGAAACUGGAUGUUUGCACUUUACAUAUAUAACUUUAUUAAAAAUGUCUGAUUAUUAUUAGUAAAAAGUUUCAAGAUACAAUGAAAAAAUAAGAUAUUAUAAUAUAUGAAAUUUAAAAGAGUAUUUAUGAAGGGAGAAGGAAGAACAAAAGGGGAAGCUGUCUUUCUUCUCUGAUCUCAAACCAGGUGCAGAAUUUCUUGAGGUAUAAAAUGCAUACAUAUGUUGCAAUUUAAUGUUUUGUUGUUGCAUGUAGUUUUCACUCAAAGGUAAGAUUUAGCCCUCUUUCUCUUGCCUACAAUUCUUUUACCAUUUUGCUUUAAUGUUUUUUUUUAUUUAAAUUUGUUGAAACUACUAUUUAUUCUUAAUCUCUCCUUUUAGCAUGGUGUUGCUUUCUGAAAAUGACCACCUUACCCUCUGACCUAAAUUGGAAAAAAAAAUUUGUUGUUUUGGCAGAACCUUGAGGUAUUAAUAUUUUUUUAUAGUUUCAGGACCAUAUUGCCCCUGCACUGUUUUUAUAUUAAAAAAAUUCCAUUAUGACAGUUUUUGGACGAUAUUGCCCUUGAACACUGUUUUCAUAUUAAUAAAAAACAAUUUAAAUAGUUGUAGGACAAUAUUGCCCCUGCACACUGUUUUAACAUUAAAAAAAUAAAUAUUUGCAUUUUUUUGACCAUAUUGCCCCCUGCACACUUUUUAUAUUAAUAAAAUUAAUUAUUUACAUCCGCUGCAUUGUUUUUAUAUUAAAAAAAAAAUUCUAUUCUGACAGUUUUUGGACGAUAUUUCCCCUGAACACUGUUUUUUUCAUAUUAAUAAAAAACAAUUUAUAUCGUUGUAGGACAAUAUUGCCCCUGCACACUGUUUUAACAUUAAAAAAAUCUAUUAGGGCUUUUUUAGAACAGUUAGGUUUGGUAAGGAAAAGUGGAAAACCGGGGUACGAUGCAUUUUAUUUUUCUGAAUAGAUGAAACAGCUGUUGUGAGUCACAAUUACAUAUUUCGCUCAUGUUAUAUCCCUCACGUAAUUGAUUCAUUGAUUGAGGGGCAUAAUGGGAAUUUUGAUACAUACAUGUAACGAGAUGAGCAAGGCUCCUUAGAUAUAGAUAUUGGUGACACAAUUGACAUUGCAAAGAAAGAAGACAAGAAUUGUUGACAAGAAGGAAAGGAUUGGGAAGGCCAAAUCAGGGGCUUCAAACUACCAUCUAUUGUUUGCAUAAACACCUUGGUACGUAUGGAUUCUUUUUAAGAGUGUUAGAACUUGAUGUAACCUUUUUUUAUGUAACGUUUUCUUAAGUUAACUUUUUAGUUAAGAUGAGGUUGUUUCCUCUUCAUGUUAUAUUACAUUAAUAUUAUCAUUUUUUUCUAUUAUGUCAAA